rnacentral:tRNA from 1 species
AGGGGUGCAGCUCAAUUGGUAGAGCGGCGGUCUCCAAAGCCGCUGGUUGCGCGUUCGAGUCGUGUCGCCCCUG